AGCGGCGUAGAGCAGUAGUCAGCUCGGAAGGCCCAUAACCUUCAGGUCGUCGGUGCAAAUCCGUCCGCCGCAACCA
rnacentral:tRNA from 1 species